GCCGCGGUAAUACGUAGGGCGCAAGCGUUAUCCGGAUUUAUUGGGCGUAAAGAGCUCGUAGGCGGAUUGUUAAGUGAGGGGUGAAAUCCCAGGGCUCAACCCUGGAACUGCCUUUCAUACUGGCAAUCUUGAGUCCGGAAGAGGUGAGUGGAACUCCUAGUGUAGAGGUGGAAUUCGUAGAUAUUAGGAAGAACACCAGUGGCGAAGGCGGCUCACUGGUCCGGUACUGACGCUGAGGUGCGAAAGCGUGGGGAGCAAACAG
rnacentral:rRNA from 1 species